rnacentral:rRNA from 1 species
UAGCAUAUCAAUAAGCGGAGGAAAAGAAACCAACAGGGAUUGCCCUAGUAACGGCGAGCGAAGCGGCAACAGCUCAAAUUUGAAAUCUGGCUACUUUGUAGUCCGAGUUGUAAUUUGUAGAGGAUGCUUUUGGUGAGGUGCCUUCCGAGUUCCCUGGAACGGGACGCCAGAGAGGGUGAGAGCCCCGUACGGUUGGAUACCAAACCUUUGUAUAGCUCCUUCGACGAGUCGAGUAGUUUGGGAAUGCUGCUCUAAAUGGGAGGUAUAUCUCUUCUAAAGCUAAAUAUAGGCUAGAGACCGAUAGCGCACAAGUAGAGUGAUCGAAAGAUGAAAAGCACUUUGAAAAGAGAGUUAAACAGCACGUGAAAUUGUUGAAAGGGAAGCGCCUAUGACCAGACUUGUUUCUUUCAGUUUUGUUAGUUUUCGGACUGAUUUACUCUGUUAGUACAGGCCAGCAUCAGUUUGUUGUCGGGGAGAAAGGCUCAGGGAAUGUGGCUUCUUCGGGAGUGUUAUAGCCCUUUGCAUAAUACCCUUCGGCAGACUGAGGACCGCGCUUCGGCAAGGAUGCUGGCGUAAUGGUCAUCAGCGACCCGUCUUGAAACACGGACCAAGGAGUCAACCUUAUGUGCGAGUGUUUGGGUGUAAAACCCCAGCGCGUAAUGAACGUGAACGUAGGUGAGAGCUUCGGCGCAUCAUCGACCGAUUCUGAUGUUCUCGGAUGGAUUUGAGUAAGAGCACACAGGGUUGGACCCGAAAGAAGGUGAACUAUGCUUGUAUAGGGUGAAGCCAGAGGAAACUCUGGUGGAGGCUCGCAGCGGUUCUGACGUGCAAAUCGAUCGUCAAAUAUGAGCAUGGGGGCGAAAGACUAAUCGAACCUUCUAGUAGCUGGUUCCAGCG